rnacentral:rRNA from 1 species
CAAUAGCGUAUAUUUAAGUUGUUGCAGUUAAAAAGCUCGUAGUUGGAUUUCGGGUGUGGACGACCGGUCCGUCUUUGAUGUGUACUGGUUGGUUGCGCCUUAUUGUCGAGGACGUGGUUCUAGCUUUCAUUAGCCGGGACACGGAGUCGGCAGCGUUACUUUGAGAAAAUUAGAGUGUUCAAAGCAGGCUAUCGCUCUGAAUACUACAGCAUGGAAUAACACGAUAGGACUCCGAGCCUAUUCUGUUGGUCUUCGGGACCGGAGUAAUGAUUAAGAGGGACAGUUGGGGGCAUUCGUAUUCCGAUGUCAGAGGUGAAAUUCUUGGAUUAUCGGAAGACGAACAUCUGCGAAAGCAUUUGCCAAGGAUGUUUUCAUUAA